GACAUCAGACUGCAGCCGUGGCGGAAGGAGGUCCGAAUGACAAGUUCUCAGCUGUUUUUAGAGGAAGGCUUUCUGGGGAUUUAGUUCCCAGGGGGACCUGUCGUUUUUUCCCUUCUGUAUGAUGUCACGUGUUCACUGUGAAGUACAUCUGGUGCAGUCUGGAGGAGGCUUUAUUCAGCCAGGAGGUUCCCUGAGACUCUAUUGUGAAGGGUCUGGGUUCACCUUCAGUGACUUCUACAUACACUGGCAUCGCCAGGCUCCAGGAAAGAGUCUGGAGUGGGUGGGUUUCAUUAGAGACAAACCCAGGGGGCAUACAACAGAGUAUGCUGCAUCUGUGAAACAGAGAUUCACCAUUUCAAGAGAUGAUUCCAAGAACACUGCCUACCUUCACAUGAGCAGUCUGAGAGCUGAGGACUCGGCGAUGUAUUACUGUGCCAGAGAAAGAGACACAAUGUCCUGUCCCAGGUUACCCUGAGGGAGUCUGGCCCUGGGCUAUUGCAGCCCUCCCAGACUCUCAGUCUGACCUGCUCGUUCUCUGGGUUUUCACUGAGCACUUCUGGUAUAG